UACGUAGGGUGCGAGCGUUAAUCGGAAUUACUGGGCGUAAAGCGUGCGCAGGCGGUUUUGUAAGCCCGGUGUGAAAUCCCCGGGCUCAACCUGGGAAUGGCAUUUGGGACUGCAAGGCUGGAGUGCGGCAGAGGAGACUGGAAUUCCUGGUGUAGCAGUGAAAUGCGUAGAUAUCAGGAGGAACACCGAUGGCGAAGGCAGGUCUCUGGGCUGACACUGACGCUCAUGCACGAAAGCGUGGGGAGCAAACAGG
rnacentral:rRNA from 1 species